GAAAUUAUUAAAUUAAGAUCAAAUCAAAUGUAUAAUCAAAUUCUGGAAGAAGCUAAGUCUUUAACAAGCAAUGACUGCGGCGAAUCUGAAAAUAGGACACAGACCUCGAAGAGGCAAGUAAAAAAACCAAAUCGGAUGGAUGACUAUUUGACGUACACCCCCUGUUCCUCCGCCAGACAAAAUAUAGAUGAGAACGACGAGCCAUUUAAGUCUGAGUAUUUCGAAACGUUGGACAUUUUAAUUGCUGAAUUACAAAGAAGGUUUUCGGACAACGAUGAUUUAAUUAAUUCGAUUGCAAGUCUUGAUGAGUUGGAUGUAGAUAAAAUGGUUCCACUGAAAAAUUUGGGUCUGAAAAUUCCAUCAAGAGAAGAGGCUAGUGUGGUUAAAGCUUACUUGAGUCGUAACGAGGAUAUAAUGGAAAAUACAUUGCAAGUUUUGUACAGGCAACGAGAGGCGUUCAAAGAUACAUAUGAACUUUUUGCGUCUGUGGCGACCAUAGGAUGUAGCACUGCAGUGUGUGAAUCUACGUUUUCAACUUUAACUGCAAUCAAUAGGCCUCAAAGGCUGUCAAUGGGUCACGAGAGAAUGGCUGGUAUGGUAUUUCUGGCCUUUGAAAAAAAAAGAACAAAAUCAGUUGAUCUGAACGAAGUUCUUCGCAUUUUUAAUAACAUGGCGAAUCGUAGAAUUCAGCUGUUUUAAAUGUUUUUUAUUAUUAUGUUAGUUAAUUAUUAUAAUAAGUACGCAAAAACAAUGUGAUCUUAAUGAUA